UGAGGAAUAUUGGUCAAUGGACGAGAGUCUGAACCAGCCAAGUAGCGUGAAGGAUGAAGGUUCUAUGGAUUGUAAACUUCUUUUAUAAGGGAAUAAAACCUCCCACGUGUGGGAGCUUGUAUGUACCUUAUGAAUAAGCAUCGGCUAACUCCGUGCCAGCAGCCGCGGUAAUACGGAGGAUGCGAGCGUUAUCCGGAUUUAUUGGGUUUAAAGGGAGCGCAGACGGGGGAUUAAGUCAGUUGUGAAAGUUUGGGGCUCAACCUUAAAAUUGCAGUUGAUACUGGUUCUCUUGAGUGCAGUUGAGGCAGGCGGAAUUCGUGGUGUAGCGGUGAAAUGCUUAGAUAUCACGAAGAACCCCGAUUGCGAAGGCAGCUUGCUAAACUGUAACUGACGUUCAUGCUCGAAAGUGUGGGUAUCAAACAG
rnacentral:rRNA from 1 species